rnacentral:rRNA from 1 species
UACGUAGGUGGCAAGCGUUGUCCGGAUUUACUGGGCGUAAAGCGCGCGCAGGCGGUCGUCCAAGUCGCGUGUGAAAGCCCCCGGCUCAACUGGGGAGGGUCACGCGAUACUGGUCGACUCGAAGGCAGGAGAGGGUAGUGGAAUUCCCGGUGUAGUGGUGAAAUGCGUAGAUAUCGGGAGGAACACCAGUGGCGAAGGCGACUACCUGGCCUGUUCUUGACGCUGAGGCGCGAAAGCUAGGGGAGCAAACGGG